rnacentral:lncRNA from 1 species
GGAGACUCUAAGACUUCUGAAGAGUUUCUUGCUUCUUUCCUGUGGGGCAGUGACUCCACUUCCCAGCAGUAAUGGAAUAUCCUGAAUUAGCUACAUUAAUGUUAGAACCAUUUGGACCUCACCCAGGACUUCAACUACAUUAUGCUAAAGUUACAGAACCCAAAUUUGGCAACUGUCUGCAUCUGAACAACAGAAGUUUCAACAUUCUGCCAACAGAGUAACUCCUGGACGAUUGGCACAGAAGAAGGCACAAGGCAAAUACCCAUCUCUGUACACCCUGUGCUACUGUGUCAUGUGCUGCUCCAGGCAACUCCAAUGGAUUGGCCACCCUGGCCAAUGUGCCCUCCAAACACCAGCACUGAGUAGAAAGAGGCUCUGAUUCAUGAAAUGUGAAUUUAUGACAGUUGCCACUCUUAAAAAAAAAAACAAACAGACAGAACUUGAGCAAUACAUGACUGAUGCAUUCUCAGCCUGCUUCCUGUGUUCCAUCUGUCUUUCUGCCAGUGCAUUCACCCUCCAGGUUCUAGUAUGUUACGUUUAUGUUCCCCUGCUUUCUACAAUCCUGUUCAAAGAGUUGCUGACUUAACCACAGAGAGGAUUCCAGAACCUGAGACACAGAAUAAACUUGAGCAAUCAUAGUCCAUCCACUUCAUUGUCUCAUCAAAAACCAAAGGUCCAGUGAAGCUCUGGAACUCAACGCUGUAAAGGAGCGAAGGAGCUUCUAUACAGAGCCUGGAUGCCUGUCUCCUUAUCCUACUUCAGUGGACUUGACUGCAAUCCGGAUUAUGCUGUUUUCUAAGCAUUUAAAAUAAAA